rnacentral:lncRNA from 1 species
GCCCUCAUCGCCGGCCACGACACGUCGUCCAUCCUCAUGACGUUCAUGGUCCGCCACCUCGCCAACGAUGAUGCCACGCUCGCUGCCAUGGUCCAAGGCAAGUGGCCAGUGAAUCAAUUACUCAAUGUGCAGGUGCGUCCGUGUAUUCCAUGGCCAUGACGUGUGUUUGGUGAAACAGAGCAUGAAGAGAUCGCCAUGAACAAAGCCGAGGGAGAGGCUCUCACCUGGGAAGAUCUGACGAAGAUGAAGUUCACAUGGCGAGUCGCGCAGGAGAUCCUUCGCAUCGUCCCUCCGAUCUUCGGCAACUUCAGAAGAGCGCUGGAGGACGUCGAGUUCGACGGCUACCUAAUCCCAAAAGGAUGGCAGGUCAGUUGCUGCUUAGCUACCACAGUCGUCGGAGGCGGAGAAAUUACCUGACCUGAAAGCUUUCAGGUGUUCUGGACGGCGAACGUGACGCACAU